UACGUAGGGUGCGAGCGUUAAUCGGAAUUACUGGGCGUAAAGCGUGCGCAGGCGGUGAUGCAAGACAGAUGUGAAAUCCCCGGGCUCAACCUGGGAACUGCAUUUGUGACUGCACGGCUAGAGUACGGUAGAGGGGGAUGGAAUUCCGCGUGUAGCAGUGAAAUGCGUAGAUAUGCGGAGGAACACCGAUGGCGAAGGCAAUCCCCUGGACCUGUACUGACGCUCAUGCACGAAAGCGUGGGGAGCAAACAGG
rnacentral:rRNA from 1 species